CUACGGAGGCUCCGAGCGUUAUCCGGAUUUAUUGGGUUUAAAGGGUGCGCAGGCGGCCAUUUAAGUCAGCGGUUAAAUCGUGGGGCUCAACCCCAUUCUGCCGUUGAUACUGGGUGGCUUGAUUGCGGUCGAGGUUGGCGGUAUUCGUUGUGUAGCGGUGAAAUGCAUAGAUAUGACGAAGAACACCGAUUGCGUAGGCAGCUGACCAGACCGCAAAUGACGCUCAUGCACGAAAGUGCGGGGAUCGAACAGGAUUAGAUACCCUGGUAGUCCGCACAGUAAACGAUGAAUACUUGUUUUCGGCGAUAUAAUGUCGGAGGCAAAGCGAAAGCGAUAAGUAUUCCACCUGGGGAGUACGCCGGCAACGGUGAAACUCAAAUGAAUUGACGGGG
rnacentral:rRNA from 1 species